rnacentral:lncRNA from 1 species
GUAUACUUUACAGUGUUCAUGGAAGAAAAGAUUGGCAUUCAAUUCAAAAAGAGAAAAGUUUCCAAUUAUCUUGCUGACCCCCUUUCUAUGGCUUAUAGAAAUUAGCAUUAAUGACUUGGUGGAAUUCAUCAUAUUUUUACUUUUUUUUGAGAUGUUUUGUGUGAUAAUCCAUAAAGAACAUUGAUAUUUUUUCCUUUUUUGAGAAGUUUACUUGGUUAGUGUUAUGUUUUAAUUGUAUUAACAUUUAAUACUCGUCUAACUUUAAUACUUUUAUUUGCUUUUAUUUAGGAUAGAUUGCAAUAGUCAACCUUCAGAAAGUCAUUCAAUAGGUGCCGCACAAUUGAGCCGUGCAAAGACUGACCGUGCAUGAGAAGACUUUUCUUCAACUCGUGAUAUUGACGGUAAAGCACGUUUCACAUGUCUUUGCUGCAACAAUAGCUUUAAAGGUGGUGGAAUUAACAGAAUAAAGUAUCAUCUUGCUGGAAUUAAAAGUCAAAUAUCUCAAUGUAAGAAAGUUCCUUAUGAUGUUCGAUUUAAAUUUCAAGGUAUUCUUAGGGAUUUAUCUAAAAAGAAACAAGAUGCUAAAGAGGCUCAUGAUUGUACGUUUAAGGACAAUUAUAUAGAUUUAGAAACUGGAGGAGAGGAAAUAGAAGAGGUUAUUCAAGAAAUGAAUAUAUCAUUAGAAAAGCAAAGACAAGAAAAAGGGAAGAGGAAAGCAAGUGAAGGUAUUGAAACAUAUUUUGCUCCAAAGACUACUCCUGGAUCUCAACCUAGUUGAAAGAGUGCUUUAGCUGGUAAACAAGCAAUAAAGAGAGCCCAUAUGUCUUGGGCUAGGUGGUUUUAUGAUGUUUGCAUUCCAUUUAAUGCUUUGCAAUCACCUUACUUUCAACUUGCUUUAGAUACCACUGCUGCAAUUAGUCUAGGAUUUAAAGGUCCUUCUCAUAAUGACAUUCGUGUUAAUUUGUUGAGAGAUUACAAGAAAGAAUGCCCAUUGUUUGUUGACACAUAUCGAAGUCAGUGGAUAAAUAAUGGAUGCGCAAUUAUGGCCGAUGGUUGGACAGAUCAAAGACAUAGAACUUUGAUUAAUUUUUUAGUAUAUUGCUCUUCUGGGAUUAUAUUUAUAAAAUCUUAUGAUGCACCGGAUGUAGUGAAAGAUGCUCAAACAUUGUGUAAUUUAUUUUUUGAGAUAGUUGAAUGGGUUGGACCUCGUAAUGUAUUUCAUAUGGUAACUGAUAAUGCAGCAACUAUGUGGCGAUAGGGAAAUUAUUGCAUGACAGAUAUGAUCACAUUUUUUGGUCUUCUUGUGCUGCACAUUGUUUGAAUCUUAUUCUAAAAUAUGUUAGUAGUAUGCCUCACGUACAUUCACUUGCAGUAUGUGCUUUGAAAAUUACAAUAUUUGUGUAUAAUCACACAAUUUUUUUUGUCUUGGUUGAGAAAAGUACCUGAAUGGAGAGAAAUUGUACGUCCAGCUAUGACUCAUUUUGCUACCGUUUUUCUUACAUUGAAAAGCAUUUAUGAUCACAAACAAUCAUCGCAGAGUUUGGCAACAAGUAGGCAUUUUACAAGCCAUAGGCUUUCAAAAAGUGCAAAUGGAAGACUCGUGAGUUCUAUCAUCUUAGAUAACAAAUUUUGGGAGGAUUGCUUGAUGAUUGUGAAAAUUGUGGCUCCUAUUAUAAGAUUGUUACGAAUUGUACAUUCAGAUGAAAAACCUUCAUUGGUUUAUGUAUAUGAUGGCAUGCGUAGGACACGAAAAGGAAUCAAGAAUAUAUUAUUAAGUAAGAAAAGAUUGUACAAACCUUCCAUUGAUAUAAUUAAAGAGCGAUGGGAUAAACAUCUUCGCUACUUAACAUACAUGCAACAACUUAUUUUUUUAAUCCUGCUUUUAUUUAUGAAGAAGGAUUUUGUCAAAAAGUAGAAGUCAUGAAAGGUCUAUUCAAUUUGCUUGAAAUCAAAAGCAUUUGUGGUGAUGAGACAAAAGCAAUGGGGGAGAUAAGGAUGUAUCGAGAACGUGAAUGGAGUUUUGGAAGGCAAUCUGCAUGUAAUACUAAAAAAUCAUUACAA